AGCGAACGCUGGCGGCAGGCUUAACACAUGCAAGUCGAGCGGGCCCUUCGGGGUCAGCGGCAGACGGGUGAGUAACACGUGGGAACGUACCCUUUGGUUCGGAAUAACGCUGGGAAACUAGCGCUAAUACCGGAUACGCCCUUUUGGGGAAAGGCUUGCUGCCGAAGGAUCGGCCCGCGUCUGAUUAGCUAGUUGGUGGGGUAAUGGCCUACCAAGGCGACGAUCAGUGGCUGGUCUGAGAGGAUGAUCAGCCACACUGGGACUGAGACACGGCCCAGACUCCUACGGGAGGCAGCAGCGGGGAAUAUUGGACAAUGGGCGCAAGCCUGAUCCAGCCAUGCCGCGUGAGUGAUGAAGGCCUUAGGGUUGUAAAGCUCUUUUGUCCGGGACGAUAAUGACGGUACCGGAAGAAUAAGCCCCGGCUAACUUCGUG
rnacentral:rRNA from 1 species